GUUCGGCCAAUCUCGUGCCGAUACACGUGUUUAGUUGGUGACGUAGGACAGUCCACGUGAGGGGUGCAUUUGCCGCUGUUGCAGGUGUGCAUUUCUGAUUUCAACCCUAACCCUAACCCCAACCCCAACCGUCCGAUUCAACAGACCAGGGACAACCCAACCGUCCUGUCGAAGACUGUCACCUGUGACGAGAAGAGGGCAUACAGCUACGACAGCUGAGUUCUACUGCACUGCUCUAAGUUGUCUGAGGAAGAACAUUCAGCAUAAAAGACCAGGACUGUUGCACAAAGUCAACUGGGUGCUCCAUCAUAACAACAUGCCCACUCACAGAUGUUUUUGGCCACACCAGAACAAUCAUCGCUCCCCACCCAUACACCAGAUUUGAGUCUUUGUGAUUUUUUUUCCUCUUCUAAACUGAGAAAAAGAGUAACCACAUGGAAGGUGCUGUCAUGAUGUUAAGCCAUUUUUGCCCAUUUCAGCCACAACCAAUCCAGUCAUGCCCAAGAAAAUUUAGCAGCCAAGUGUCUAAUUAUUUUUUCACCCUUGCAAUUCGAGUACUAUGUGUAAGAGCUCCCACACAGUUCCUAAUAUAUAGAUGUCAAACCAUUCAAAUUAAAGCUGAUACUUGA